GUGCCGCGGGUCAGCGGCUGACGCCAGCCACCUUCCCGACCCAGUCUUGAAACACGGACCAAGGAGUCUAACAUGUGCGCGAGCCGCGGGGCAGUACGAAACCCGUAAGGCGAAAUGAAGGUGAACGCCGGCGCGGUCCGGCGGAGGUUGGAUCCCGUCCCGUCGGGGCGGGCGCACUACCGGCCGAUCUUCUCCGCCCUGUCGGCGAGGUCGAGCGAGAGCGUGCAAGUCGGGACCCGAAAGAUGGUGAACUAUGCCUGAGGAGGUUGAAGCCAGAGGAAACUCUGGUGGAGGACCGUAGCGAUUCUGACGUGCAAAUCGAUCGUCAAAUUUGGGUAUAGGGGCGAAAGACUAAUCGAACCGUCUAGUAGCUGGUUCCCUUCGAAGUUUCCCUCAGGAUAGCUGGCGCUCUGUCGCAGUUUUAUCUGGUAAAGCGAAUGAUUAGAGGUCUUGGGGGCGAAACGCCCUCAACCUAUUCUCAAACUUUAAAUUGGUAAGAAGCCCGACUCGCUCGUUUGGAGCCGGGCAUGGAAUGCGAGUGCCAAGUGGGCCACUCUUGGUAAGCAGGACUGGCGAUGCGGGAUGAACCGAACGCCGGGUUAAGGCGCCCGACGCGACGCUCAUCAGAGCCCACAAAAGGUGUUGGUUGAUAUAGACAGCAGGACGGUGGCCAUGGAAGUCGGAACCGCUAAGGAGUGUGUAACAACUCACCUGCCGAAUCAAUC
rnacentral:ncRNA from 1 species